UGUGUCAGAAUGCCUGCUGCACCCAGUCCUGGCAGGUCUCUUCAAGGUGCUUUUGCUAAUAAUAUUCCGACUUGGAUAUUCAUGGGGCUAGAAGAGAGGGCGUUGCCAUGAAAGUUCUCUGAUGGGGUUGUCACAUUUGGCCUCUGAUGCCUUCAGGACAUUGAUCUUUCAUAAAUUCUUGCAAACACAACUUAACAAAAAAAAAGUGUCCUUCCUUCCCUUUUUGGACCAAGAAGUCUAGGCAUUUUGCAUCUUUAGGUUUGGGGAUCGAUAUGCCUUGAAGACCCAGGUAUUGCAAUGCUCCAGCUACUCCAAAGAAGAGGAAGAAUUAAGCUCUGCAAUAAGAAUAUGAAUAUUCAGUCAUAGAAGCACUCAGAAACAGACCUAAUUUUUAUUUUUUACUUCAGAAAGCUCCAAAAGUGGGAUUGAAACUGGUAGUUUUCAAUAUAGCAUUUGCUAUUCUGGUCCCAUAGUUCACCUGCCCCAGGAAAAUAACAAUACUCAUAAUGCCCAUGAACUUACUUAGAUUUAAAUUUUCUAUGUAUUCUCUGAAUUUUCAGGUCCUGGCUUCAAAUACAUCUUGUUACCAUCACCCCUUGCCACCCCUAGACCCAACAUGAUGGAAGACUACCAACAAUUCACUUUUGCCAGAGAUCUUGACUCUCUCCUCUACCUCAUCUUUAAUGAGAAUUGCUAUGACAAAGUAAAAUUGACUGGACUUUGUUCCACUUUUUCUCCCUGCUUUGUGACUACUUUCAUUAAGAAUCCUGUAUAAUUCUCAAAUGGGAUUAUCAGUCUUUAAAAACUGAUGAGUUGCCAAGCUUCUUGCUUUUGUUUUUUCCAAAUAAAGACCUAAAAGUGC